rnacentral:misc_RNA from 1 species
GAUGAAGAACGCAGCGAAAUGCGAUAAGUAAUGUGAAUUGCAGAAUUCAGUGAAUCAUCGAAUCUUUGAACGCACAUUGCGCCCCCUGGUAUUCCGGGGGGCAUGCCUGUUCGAGCGUCAUUUCACCACUCAAGCCUCGCUUGGUAUUGGGCAACGCGGUCCGCCGCGUGCCUCAAAUCGACCGGCUGGGUCUUCUGCCCCCUAAGCGUUGUGGAAACUUUCGCUAAAGGGUGUUCGGGAGGCUACGCCGUAAAACAACCCCAUUUCUAAGGUUGACCUCGGAUCAGGUAGGGAUACCCGCUGAACUUAAGCAUAUCAAUAAGCGGAGGA